GGAAACAUUUCUUUCCUUCGGGACUCUUUGCAAGGUGCUGCAUGGUUGUCGUCAGCUCGUGCCGUGAGGUGUCGGGUUAAGUCCCAUAACGAGCGCAACCUUUAUCGUUAGUUGCCAGCGGGUAAUGCCGGGAACUCUAACGAAACUGCCGGUGUAAACCGUGAGGAAGGUGGGGAUGACGUCAAAUCAGCACGGCCCUUAUGUCCAGGGCUACACACGUGUUACAAUGGCCGGUACAGAGGGCAGCUACCUGGAGACAGGAUGCGAAUCUCAAAAGCCGGUCUCAGUUCGGAUCGGAGUCUGCAACUCGACUCCGUGAAGCUGGAUUCGCUAGUAAUCGCGCAUCAGCCAUGGCGCGGUGAAUACGUUCCCGGGCCUUGUACACACCGCCCGUCAAGCCAUGGAAGUUGGGGGUACCUGAAGUCCGUAACCGUAAGGAGCGGCCUAGGGUAAAACUAGUGACUGGGGCUAAGUCGUAACAAGGUAGCCGUACCGGAAGG
rnacentral:rRNA from 1 species